UGGGGAAUAUUGCACAAUGGAGGGAACUCUGAUGCAGCGACGCCGCGUGAACGAAGAAGGCUUUCGAGUCGUAAAGUUCUUUUAUAUGGGAAGAUAAUGACGGUACCAUAAGAAAAAGCCCCGGCUAACUACGUGCCAGCAGCCGCGGUAAUACGUAGGGGGCUAGCGUUAGCCGGAAUCACUGGGCGUAAAGGGUUCGCAGGCGGAAAUGCAAGUCAGGUGUAAAAGGCAGUAGCUUAACUACUGUAAGCAUUUGAAACUGCAUAUCUUGAGAAGAGUAGAGGUAAGUGGAAUUUUUAGUGUAGCGGUGAAAUGCGUAGAUAUUAAAAAGAAUACCGGUGGCGAAGGCGGCUUACUGGGCUCAUUCUGACGCUGAGGAACGAAAGCGUGGGUAGCAAACAGG
rnacentral:rRNA from 1 species